CCUACGGGUGGCAGCAGUGAGGACUAUUGGUCAAUGGGCGCGAGCCUGAACCAGCCAAGUAGCGUGAAGGAUGACUGCCCUACGGGUUGUAAACUUCUUUUAUAAAGGAAUAAAGUGAGGCACGUGUGCCUUUUUGUCUGUCCUUUAUGCAUAAGGAUCGGCUAACUCCGUGCCAGCUGCCGCGGUAAUACGGAGGAUCCGAGCGUUAUCCGGAUUUAGUGGGGUUAAAGGGAGCGUAGAUGGGUUGUUAAGUCAGUUGUGAAAGUUUGCGGCUCAACCGUAAAAUUGCAAUUGAUACUUGCAGUCUUGAGUACAGUUGAGGUAGGCGGAAUUCGUGGUGUAGCGGUGAAAUGCUUAGAUAUCACGAAGAACCCCGAUUGCGAAGGCAGCUUACUAAACUGUGACUGACAUUGAUGCUCGAAAGUGUGGGUAUCAAACAGGAUUAGAUACCCCAGUAGUC
rnacentral:rRNA from 1 species